GAUGAAGAACGUAGCGAAAUGCGAUAAGUAAUGUGAAUUGCAGAAUUCCGUGAAUCAUCGAAUCUUUGAACGCACAUUGCGCCCGCCAGUAUUCUGGCGGGCAUGCCUGUUCGAGCGUCAUUUCAACCAUCAAGCCCCCCGGCUUGUGUUGGGGACCUGCGGCUGCCGCAGGCCCUGAAAUCCAGUGGCGGGCUCGCCGUAGCACCGAGCGUAGUAGCACACUUCUCGCUCCGGUAGCAGCGGCGGGCGCUUGCCGUAAAACCCCCCCUAAAAUCUCAAGGUUGACCUCGGAUCAGGUAGGAAUACCCGCUGAACUUAAGCAUAUCAAUAAGCGGAGGA
rnacentral:misc_RNA from 1 species